rnacentral:rRNA from 1 species
ACGUAUGGUGCAAGCGUUAUCCGGAUUUACUGGGUGUAAAGGGAGCGCAGGCGGAAGGCUAAGUCUGAUGUGAAAGCCCGGGGCUCAACCCCGGUACUGCAUUGGAAACUGGUCAUCUAGAGUGUCGGAGGGGUAAGUGGAAUUCCUAGUGUAGCGGUGAAAUGCGUAGAUAUUAGGAGGAACACCAGUGGCGAAGGCGGCUUACUGGACGACAACUGACGCUGAGGCUCGAAAGCGUGGGGAGCAAACAG